GUGUCAGCAGCCGCGGUAAUACGAAGGGGGCUAGCGUUGUUCGGAAUCACUGGGCGUAAAGCGUACGUAGGCGGAUGAAUAAGUCAGGGGUGAAAGCCUGGAGCUCAACUCCAGAACUGCCUUUGAUACUGUUUGUCUUGAGUCCGGGAGAGGUGAGUGGAACUGCUAGUGUAGAGGUGAAAUUCGUAGAUAUUAGCAAGAACACCAGUGGCGAAGGCGGCUCACUGGCCCGGUACUGACGCUGAGGUACGAAAGCGUGGGGAGCAAACAGGAUUAGAAACCCCUGUAGUCC
rnacentral:rRNA from 1 species